rnacentral:lncRNA from 1 species
AUUGGCCACAGUUUGGGGAAGCCUGGUCUAUGAAUAUGACAUAAGAGGAAACACUGAAGUAAAUGAUUGCUUCUUUCCAUCCUAUUACCUUCUUCAAAGAUGAACUGUUCCCUUCCAUCUUUCUUUUGAAAUGUGGCCAUCAGAACUGAAGAGUAUUCUAGUAAAGGACUCCCACCCAAGAGCUGCUGUCAGUCAGAUGGGACAAUAUUGGGCUCAUUUGACCUGGUAUAAGGUCGCUUCCUGUGUGCCUGUUCUGUGAACAUCACCAUACUCACUGCCAAGCCCAACAUUGAAUAGAGUAUGGUAAGUAUCUCAUUAUUCUUCCUUGUAAUUCCACUACAAAGACUCUCCUCCUGCAAAAGAGGGGAGUGGUUGUGGGCGGGAGCCGGUUUCCGCCUCAAGCAGGGGGCGUUAGCCCCCUGCCUCCCACUCACCUGGCUGGCGCCCAUGCCCACUGACAGGCACCCAACCAGGUGCCUUCGAGGGGGCGUGUACGGCAGCGUAAAUUGCUGCGGCGCCAGCCUCCUGGCCUCACUCUUCGUCGUCCCAUCGCGAGUCACCCACCCUCCACUCCCUUAGAGCUCAGGGUCUCAGUUUUCUUUUGGCCUUGCUAUGGACCUUAGGUUGGUCGCCCAGGUUGUCCAGGGGGCCUGGUAGGAAUUUUUCCAUUGGCAUUAGGCUUUUUGGUUUUUUCGCCUACCUCGUAGCAAUCGUCACAACUUUCGUGGUAUUGGUGGGUAGGUUAGGCAUUGGAAUAAUGUGUUGUGGUGUGUGGAAGGGCUAGGUGUGGUCAUCGCCUAUGCCUUCAAUUUUGGGUAUUCCGUUAAAGGAAUCCGGUGGUCGUGUAUUCUGUCCGAUGCCUGCGUGGCGGGAGGCCAUGGCACGACCCUCGGUGACAUCAGGGGAGAGCUUAUAGUUGGAUUAGCAUCAACAGGCUCCACCUACUGGUGAAUAAACCCCCCUGUUUUAGACUCACCCCUCUCCGAGUGGGUGGAGUCAGCUGACAUAAUCCAGUGCCUAAGCCAAUACCUUUUCACUUGCUGUAAUCAAUAAAGUCGUGGCCUUUUCUUGCCUUAUAUCAUGUGUCCUUGUGUUUUCAUUCCACUAUGCGGGGAUCGGGUCCUCGAACCACAACCCUUUGCUUUUGUUGCAAAGACACUAACUUCUCACCAUUAAUGAUGCCCUCAACCCCCAGACCUUCUCUGUUUUUCCUUGGUAAACAAACAUUCCCAAAGCUGUUAUUGUACCUUGGUUUGUCCUGAUGAAAUGCAGGGCCUUACACUUACCCUUAUUAAAUUUCAUCCCAUUUAUUU